rnacentral:rRNA from 1 species
UACGUAGGGUGCGAGCGUUAAUCGGAAUUACUGGGCGUAAAGCGUGCGUAGACGGUUAUUUAAGUCGGGUGUGAAAGCCCCGGGCUCAACCUGGGAAUUGCAUUCGAGACUGAAUAGCUAGGGUGCGGAAGAGGGAAGCGGAAUUUCCGGUGUAGCGGUGGAAAUGCGUAGAUAUCGGAAGGAACACCAGUGGCGAAAGCGGCUCCUGGUCCAGCACCGACGUCAGGCACGAAAGCGUGGGGAGCAAACAGGAUUGAG